UAAGAUCUGGUGUACCAGCCAUUACCCAAGUGUUAAGGUCUGGUAUAUCAACUAUUCCCCAAGUGUUAAGGUCUGGUGUACCAGCUACUACCUAUUGUUAAGGUCAGGUAUAUCAACUAUUACCCAAGUGUUAAGGUCUGGUAUAUCAAGUAUUACCCAAGUGUUAAGGUCUGGUAUAUCAACUAUUACCCAAGUGUUAAGGUCUGGUGUACCAGCUACUACCUAUUGUUAAGGUCAGGUAUAUCAACUAUUACCCAAGUGUUAAGGUCUGGUAUAUCAACUAUUACCCAAGUGUUAAGGUCUGGUAUA